rnacentral:rRNA from 1 species
CGUUCCCGGGCCUUGUACACACCGCCCGUCACACCAUGGGAGUUGGUUUUACCCGAAGACGGUACGCUAACCGCAAGGAGGCAGCCGGCCACGGUAAGGUCAGCGACUGGGGUGAAGUCGUAACAAAGGUACC